UACGGGGGGGGCAAGCGUUGUUCGGAAUUACUGGGCGUAAAGGGCUCGUAGGCGGCCAACUAAGUCAGACGUGAAAUCCCCAGGCUUAACCUGGGAACUGCGUCUGAUACUGGAUGGCUUGAGUGUGGGAGAGGAAUGCGGAAUUCCUGGUGUAGCGGUGAAAUGCGCAGAUAUCAGGAGGAACACCGGUGGCGAAGGCGGAUCUCUGGGCCAUUACUGACGCUGAGGAGCGAAAGCGUGGGGAGCGAACAGG
rnacentral:rRNA from 1 species